rnacentral:rRNA from 1 species
CCUACGGGAGGCAGCAGUAGGGAAUCUUUCACAAUGGGCGAAAGCCUGAUGGAGCAACGCCGCGUGCAGGAUGAAGGCCUUCGGGUUGUAAACUUCUUUUAUAAGCGAGAAAUAUGAUUCUAACUUAUGAAUAAGGUUCGGCUAACUACGUGCCAGCAGCAGCGGUCAGACGUAGGAGCCGAGCAUUAUCCGGAGUGACUGGGUGUAAAGAGUUGCGUAGGUGGGAUAAUAAGUAGCUAGUGGAAUAUUGUGGGUCAAACAUUCAGACGAUUAGCUAAACUGUUAAGCUUGAGUCCGUUAGGGGUAACUGGAAUGUCUAGUGUAGGAGUGAAAUGCGUAGAUAUCA